GCGGGAUUUCUCGGGGGGCGGAGACGCCGAGGAGCUCGUCGGCCCCGCGACCGCCGCGGGCCUCCCGCCCUCCCCCGCCGGGCGCCGCUGAGGGCUGACGUCGGGAAAACAAUCGGGGACCCACGGGAAGAAGACGCCGCCCCCUCCCGCUGCCCCAAGCCAGGGCAGUGCCUACAACAGAAGUAUGUGUUGAAUGAUGAAUGCCACAGUCCCCUUUAUGGACAGAGCCAGCAUCAGAAGCCAAGCAGAAGGAGUACCUCCAGAAGCAAACCUCUGUUCUAACCAGAAAUCAGAACCAAGAUAGAACAAGAAUUAAACAUGAACUGAACACUCUCUGAACCCGGCUUUGUUCUUUUUGUGUCCCCUCCAGAAACUGGGUAGCAGAGAGUUAAAAACGGCUUUUCCCUAUUUUUUAGUGUAAAAAUGGCACAAGAACUCCAGGCAGCGAGUCAGUGGAGUUGCUUCUGUGGGUGAAGAGUCGGAGCUGGCUUUCUGACCCUGCCUCACAACUGGCAAUGACCAAGUGAGGGGAAGCAUGAUUCUCAGUAAUCACCCCAAGCAGGCACAGAUUAAGUGACCUUCCCAGAUUACCAAUCAGGUGACUGGAGUCUCCUUCUGGAGCUAAUUCUUGCAUCCCAGGGCUGGGGCAGAACAAUCCUCCUUCAGGAAGGUGCCA
rnacentral:lncRNA from 1 species